GACGAACGCUGGCGGCGCGCCUAACACAUGCAAGUCGAACGGAGCUUAGAGAGCUUGCUUUUUAAGCUUAGUGGCGAACGGGUGAGUAACGCGUGAGUAACCUGCCCUAGAGUGGGGGACAACAGUUGGAAACGACUGCUAAUACCGCAUAAGCCCACGGUGCCGCAUGACACUGAGGGAAAAGGAUUUAUUCGCUUUAGGAUGGACUCGCGUCCAAUUAGCUAGUUGGUGAGGUAACGGCCCACCAAGGCGACGAUUGGUAGCCGGACUGAGAGGUUGAACGGCCACAUUGGGACUGAGACACGGCCCAGACUCCUACGGGAGGCAGCAGUGGGGGAUAUUGCACAAUGGGGGAAACUCUGAUGCAGCGACGCCGCGUGGAGGAAGAAGGUUUUCGGAUUGUAAACUCCUGUCGUUAGGGACGAUAAUGACG
rnacentral:rRNA from 1 species